GGGUGGUGUGGGGGUCGGGGUUGGGUGGCGGUGUUCACCAAAUGCAAUAAUUGACAUCUGCAUUCAGAAUGGAAUAUGAGAAGAGCAAGAGAGAAACUUGUUGAGGAUGACCUGUUGGCAGUGGAAAGGGGUUUCAAGAGAGUGAAAGAUUUGAAACCAAAUUUGUAUCAGGCAAUGAACUCAACAGCAAGGAUUAUGCUACUCUUUGGGUCUCCUUUCCCCAAGGAUUUUCACUCCGAAAACUGAAAGCACUGAUCUUUCUUCAACGAUUACUCUCUUUUUCAUCACAUAAUAAUGAGAGUUGCAGCGGUAUCUAACCGCUGGAUUGAAAUCGGUGAUGAAGAAAACCUCGCUUCACCAAGGGAGUGGAUUUUUACGGUGAGCUUCUGCAGAAUCUAGAUGGCGCGACCAAGGGAGAAUAAACGGCGUUUGUUUGGGUGCCAUUUGGCUUGGCUUAAUUUCCAGUCCUAUGGGCAAUUUUCCUACUUCUGAAAACAGAGUUGGAUCCUCCUUGCUGGCUUAUGCUACAGAACAGGCCAACAGUUUUGGAUCACUGUGGGUUUGCUUUAUUUUUGGUGGGAUUGAAUUCAUAUCAUUUAAUGAUGAGAGCUCUUUUGGUCUCUCUUACUGUGGAGGGAAAGUCAUGACAAAGCCAGUAAGAGUAUCCCUUCUUUGGUUUGGCACUGGGUGGCAAGAAUCUGGUAGAGAAGCUAUUCGAAAUGCCAUAGCUUCUUUAACUCCAUCUCGAUAUCUUGGUAAGGAUUCUGAUGUGCCCACAUUAGGAGACUGGUGGAAUAUUGUUAGACAGUAUACAGACAACUCAAAUACCCCAGUGUCUGAUAGAGUGGAUGUUGGAUCUGAAUGCUUCUACACAGGCCCUGAACUCAAUAUGACUCGAGACCAAGUGAUUGACAUUGGGCAUUCAGUGUUUAACAAGACUUUGAUUGAUGCAUUUCGAGGGAACUUAAACUGUAGUGAAGCUUUUGAAGUGAAUGAGAACAGUAUUUUUCAUAUUGUGUUUUCUCAUACGGUCAUCUUUUUAGAUGGAAAGGAGCAGACAGAACUGAUGGUCUCUUGUAGUGGGAAUCUUCAGGUUGAGGCCUUUGCAGGGGUGAAUGUAACUCUACGAUGGGCAAGAGCUCCACAGAAAGAUGCUAGUGUUGAUCAAUGUUUAAGAUUUUUGCAGGGGAAAUCUUAUUUAGGCCCACCAAAUGGUGAUGAGAAGAUAGAUAGCUUGGUGGGUUACAUUCUGGCCAAGAUCACCGAGGGGGUGACCAAUCAUGAUGGAAGAGGGUGGCUUGCUAAUGAUGGGAGUGGAUUGACAGCUGGCAGUUUUUGUGAAUCUACAAUUCAACGACAACCAGAAGGUCCUCCACUAUUUAGAGAUAAAAAAAGAAAACUGAGUUUUAAUGCAGCUGGUUUGAAUGGAUACAGAUACAUUGUUCAAUACAUUUGGGAUCAGAAAAUCCAGAAUUGUGCUUUGAAGGUAUCAGAAACCUGUAAUUCCAAUGCGAUUCUUCUCAAACAGCCCAAAGGAUACUUGAAUAGAGGGCUUGCAGUCAAUCACACUGAUGGGUUGCAGCCAUAUCCUCCAAACCAGAUAUGUCAGUGGAGCGUCAACUAUCCAGAAGCAAAGUUUAUCAGUUUCACCAUCAACUACCUCUCACUGAUGGCAAAUGGUGAUGAUACACUCCAAAUUUGCCCAUCCAACUCAAAUGUAGCACAAUGCACCAUCCUUCAAUCACUCAAAAAAAAUUCUAACAAGAACUUCAGGGUAAUGGGUUCAAAAGCUACAAUCAAGUUUGCAAGUGGUGAUCAUGUUUCCUUUGAGUCAAGAGGAUGGGAACUCGAUUAUUCUGCAGGUGAGGCAAAUCAAAUUUAGCUUCUUAUCUAUACUAACUUUUGCAACAGUGAGUUUUAACAUAACUCAGGAAGUAUGCAGGACUCUGCAAUGGGAAGGAAGAUGUAUAUGACCAUGCUGGUAUCAUAGGCACACCAUUGACCAGCUUUUCUUACAUAGAAGGGCUUAAUUGCCUUUGGGUUCUCCAUGGAAAACCAGGAACUCUUGUAUCAUUAAGAUUCACUUAUAUUAACAUCUCAGAAGACUUUGAUUUUCUUGCUAUAUAUAAUGGUGUAAAGCAACAGAUAGCUAAUUUCUCUGGCUAUUAUUCUGGGUCUGGUCUCCCACAAUUGAACUUGACUGGCGAAGUUAGGAUUGCAUUUGCCACUCAGACAGAAAAGGGGCAAGGUUGGUCAGCUAACUUUUUCAUUGCAUCUCCUGUAAGUCGCAACAGCAAAGCAUUUCUUGUCAUCAUCAUUAUUGUUUCAGCUGUUGGAGUAGGCAUUUCUCUUGCUUUCGUAGCCUUGGCCUUACACAUAAGGAGAAGUAAGUGCAUUUCAAAUGAGGGCCUUAUGCUAAUGAGACUAGAAACAAACAGAGAGGAAAACCUAAUUGGGGAGGGGCCUUCUGCAGUUGUUUAUGGACCAGUUUUGACUGAUGGGAAGUUUAUAGCAGUCAAAGCUCGAAGAGAUAUGGAUUCUCUUGCUGACUUAGAGCGAGAGAUAUUGAGUAAAUCCUCUUCCCACCCAAAUAUCAUUUCUUUAGUUGGAUAUGCACGCGAUGGACUCCAAAUACGAUACUUGCUUUUCGAAUUCAUGAGUAGGGGAAAUUUGAGGAUGAACUUGAGAGAAAGAGGAGAAACACUACAUUGGGAAAAGAGAUUAGCUAUAGCAUUACAGAUCUGCUCUGCAAUCCAAAUGCUACACAUGUACUUGAAACCACCUAUUUAUCAUGGCAAUAUAACAUCUGCGAAUAUUCUCCUUGACGAAGUAUGCAAUGCAAAAUUAGCAGGUUUCAGCAAUGCAAAUUAUUGCAGCAACGAGGGGAUGAACCCUGGAGACUUGUCUGAAAUGGCUGAAGAUAUUUGGAGUUUUGGAGUAGUGUUGGUUGAGCUUCUAAGAGGACAGAACUUAGAUGAUAGAACUGCCUACAAAAAUUUCAGGAGCCUUGAAGAGAUAAAUGAUUUUGUAGGCACACAGGAGCACCUUGAUCAACGAUUGGGUAUUCCUGAUGCACAAAAUAAGAUCAUGGGUCUAGCAAAGUUGGGUGAAAUUGCAAAAUGGUGCAUUGUUCUUGGCUGUGGAGUUGGAAGGGAAAGAAAUAAUCCUCAGAUAGGUGAUGUUUUGUCAGGUUUGAAGCAGGUGAAGCAAAUGUUUUGUUAUGUUUGAGGUAGAAAGGAAGAAGAAAGUAAACAACAGCAAAAUCUUUGCAACGUUGCCUUGGUUUCCAUAUAUGAUUGUAAAUCUCAAUGGAUGUCCUCAGUGCACUAGACUCCUCGCUUUACAAGAGUCAGGGGAGGGAUUAUCCGUCAUACUCGUUACAUAUAUUAUACAUGAUGUGAAGCUUGAAGCAAUAUCUUCCGUUUCAGGUUCAGAGGAAGCGGCAAAAUAGAAAAGUUGGAAGAAAUAAACGCAUAAAUAUUUGCAAUUAUUCUUCUAGCUUUGUAUAUGAUUAUUUGCUCAAAUAAUUGUACACAUGUCAUGGUGCAUUCACAAGUCUUUCAACCUCAGCAACAAUAAUAAUGUACAGGCAUUUGCUUCUUUUAAAAAUCUCUGUAAUACAAGUCUUUUUUCCUAUUUUGGCAAGCUUUAGUACCUGUG
rnacentral:misc_RNA from 1 species